GACAGAGGGUGCAAACGUUGUUCGGAAUUACUGGGCGUAAAGCGCGUGUAGGCGGCUUGGCAAGUCGGAUGUGAAAUCCCUCGGCUCAACCAAGGAAGUGCAUCCGAAACUGCUGAGCUUGAGUACGAAAGAGGAUCGCGGAAUUCCCGGUGUAGAGGUGAAAUUCGUAGAUAUCGGGAGGAACACCGGUGGCGAAGGCGGCGACCUGGGUAGAUACUGACGCUGAGGUGCGAAAGCGUGGGGAGCAAACAGG
rnacentral:rRNA from 1 species